GUUGUUGGCUUAGCACGAUCCGAUCUUUUCCCUUGCGUCCGUCGUCUUACCCUUAUGAUUGUCUCCAAAUUUCGUUGUGCGAUCUGUUGCGGUGUUCAUAUGUGGAUUGGGAGCUGAGGAACUCGUCCGAAACCCUUCUUUCGACGAAGGAAAAUAUUAGGGUUCGGUGGUGGCUGUUGAGAACAGGAACUGUAAUGGGUUUUUGAAGCCGCAAGAAUCUCCUUGCCAAGGUUUGAUCACUUACAGGAGGCGGAAGCGUGCAAGGUCCGGGCCGGAUGCGGCUAAGGUACCACCCGGCGCUAACGGUCAGCAGCCACAACAGUACAAACGUGAAGCCUCAGGGAUGACAUGGUGCACUCAACAUGAUACCUCGGACUCGGAUGGGGCGACUAUCUGCUCCCACGUUGUCCGAGACCGUACAAGACGAUACCGUAUAGUACAAAAGGAACUCGACGAGGAAAGAGCGAUAACCCGACGAGGGAGGAAGAACAAUUUCUUGCUCUACCUUGGAUUGAUUCUAGAGGCAAAGCCUAGACCCAACCUAACGUCGACCACCCUCGUUCGAGCAGUCACAUGGGUUCACACUCGGGAUCGAACUAAGUCAUGCUGAUCCAUCAGCUAUGACAUAAAGUUACUCAACACGAUGCUUUGCAAUAAUACAUUAAUAUAAAGGUGAAAUAGCAUGGGUGGUUUUAAUCAUGAUAGGAUGAAGAGAUCUAUUCAAGAAGUGGAAACCUACGAGUCAUUCAUAAAAAGGCAUAGCAUUUUAGUUCUUACUCUAAACAUUGAAGGAUGAUGUAAUCACGCGUGACCUACAGGCUAAAGGGGCUGACUAAUGUUCAUUAGGGUUCAUUGGUGAACUUUCAUUCUAUAGUAAUUCAUCUGUCUCUAUAUUUCAUUGUAAAAAUAGCACAAGAGAAAAUAUGCUAUUAGCAUGCAUGCUUUAUCUUAGCUUUUGCUGAUUAAGUGAUCUGUUAACAGUGUACAUGGAUAUGUAGAUCUUGGACGUACCUUCUUGUAGAAAUAGGGAUAUUGAGUGGAACCAUGGGGAGAUAGUUGACGGUAAAAUGCAGAGACAUCUAUUGUGAACAAAUUUUGAA